UACGGGGGGAGCAAGCGUUGUUCGGAUUUACUGGGCGUAAAGGGCGCGUAGGCGGCCAGCACAAGUCAGUUGUGAAAUCUCCGAGCUUAACUCGGAACGGUCAACUGAUACUGUGCGGCUAGAGGUGCGGGAAGGGGCAACUGGAAUUCUUGGAUGUAGCGGUGAAAUGCGUAGAUAUCUGGAGGAACACCGGUGGCGAAGGCGGCAUCCUGGACCGGUAUUGAACGGCUGAGGCGCGAAAGC
rnacentral:rRNA from 1 species